CUCAGGCUCGGGGACUCGGGCUCGGGGCUCGGGGGCGCUCGCUUCCUCCUCCUGCGCCUGCUCCCGCCGCCCGCAGCUGCGCCCCGGGAACGCGGCGCCCUCUCACUUGUUGGUUUCUGCACUCCCGACACGGAGUUGGUGCUCCGGGAAGGCUGCUCUCUGAAGCUCUUCUUGCUCUGCUGUGGUUUUGCUCCUCCGCGGACUCCUUUCCCG
rnacentral:lncRNA from 1 species